GUUUGUGCUACCUAGACAAAUAAAGGCCUCGCAUUACUUGGCAUUACUCAUAAAAGCGGAAUAAAAGCGGACGCCCGCAGUCGGGUCUUGACUUCUUGACAAAACACACAACGUCGUCGCCCCGCCGAACGUGACCGCCAUGCACACAACCGUACCGCACACGAUUCAUACAAAUAAGAAAAUUAAACUUACAACCACGAACGACACAAAUGCCAUACUACACAACUCUCAACGAGGGACGAACGAACAAAGUCGUGUCUCUUGGAAAUCAUAAACUAUGACACCACAUGAUGACGCUGUGCUAAGCAGCAGAGCAAACGAUUAAAAUGCGUUUUUGCCUUACGUAUACCUUCAAGAAGACUUACACCAACCGCACACGUAUUUAUUCUGGAUCUCUUCUUCCUUUACGAGUUUACGUUUACCGAGUGCCGGUUGUGUUGAUUUAAAUUUUUAAAGCCUCACAAUAAUGGCGACGGCAGGAUGUCGGAGUCGGAGACGAAUGGGAACGCGAACGUGACGCACAUGCGGCCGCAUGUCGAGCUUAACAGCCUGCCGAGUUGGUUCAAUUCGUUUUGAUUAGAAGAUAAAUAUUGACAGUACGACCGAGUCUAAUAAGCACAUUCAUAGACGGUGUGCACGUUGAAGAAUCACGGAUUGUCGCAGGCAGGAAAACAUUCGGUUUCAGCGUCAUCAUCAUUAGGGAUUUUAAUAAGCCGAGCGAAAACACGCACCUCGCGACGCAUCUAACCUUAAACUCGUUAAAUUUGUUAUCCACGGUCAUUUUUAUGCGUAUGUGCGUGAAUUGGAAUUGUUGUGUGUUUUAUUAUGUUACUAAUGACAUCUAGUGAAAAACAA